rnacentral:antisense_RNA from 1 species
CUUCACCGACCCGAGGUAGAGCGGCUCGGCGCGGUCCUGUCCGUAGACCGAGAGGAUCGCCUGCGCCUC